rnacentral:rRNA from 1 species
GGGCUUAAGGUAAGUGCUAAUCAGUCGGGAUGAUAAGCCGAGCUUCAAUGAUUAGGUCCGACAGCCGAAGCAUUGAGGGGUUCGAGAUUGAUCUCGAACUGGCGGGUUACCUGUGGAAUACGUAUCCAUGGCAACCUACAAUGCUGUGAUGCCCUUCGAUGUUCUGGGCUGCACGCGCGAUACACUGACAGAGCCAACGAGUUUUUUUCCUUGACCGAAAGGUCUGGGUAAUCUUGUGAAACUCU